UUUUAAUGAAAAGACAAUGGAAAUGAGUAAAAGAAAUGCUGAAAUUCGGAAGAAACAAACUGUUGCACACACUGGUGAUUCCAAACCAAACUCCAGAAGAAGAGCUGAAAUGAUGGCUGAAUCUGGACAAAACCCUGGACGAGCGCAACUCUAUCUUGCUACUCAUAAGAAGGAAGAUGGGUCAUAUGUUU